UACGUAGGCAGCGAGCGUUGUUCGGAGUUACUGGGCGUAAAGGGUGCGUAGGCGGCCUAUUAAGUUUGUCGUGAAAUCUCCCGGCUCAACUGGGAGGGUGCGGCGAAUACUGAUGGGCUUGGAGUGUGGGAGAGGAGAGUGGAAUUCCUGGUGUAGCGGUGAAAUGCGCAGAUAUCAGGAAGAACACCCGUGGCGAAGGCGGCUCUCUGGGACGGUACUGACGCUGAGACGCGAAAGCGUGGGGAGCGAACAGG
rnacentral:rRNA from 1 species